rnacentral:rRNA from 1 species
UUUUAUAUAUAUAUUUUUUUUUUAUAAUUUAUAAAAUUUAUUUAUUUAAUAAAAUUUAAAUAUUUAAUUGGGGUGAUAAAAAAAUUAAAUAAACUUUUUUUUUAUAAAUACAUUUAUUUAUGAAUAAUUGAUCCAAUAAUAUUGAAUAAAA